AUUGAACGCUGGCGGCAGGCCUAACACAUGCAAGUCGAGCGGCAGCGGGAAAGUAGCUUGCUACUUUUGCCGGCGAGCGGCGGACGGGUGAGUAAUGCCUGGGAAAUUGCCCGGUCGAGGGGGAUAACAGUUGGAAACGACUGCUAAUACCGCAUACGCCCUACGGGGGAAAGCAGGGGACCUUCGGGCCUUGCGCGAUUGGAUAUGCCCAGGUGGGAUUAGCCAGUUGGUGAGGUACUGGCUCACCAAGGCGACGAUCCCUAGCUGGUCUGAGAGGAUGAUCAGCCACACUGGAACUGAGACACGGUCCAGACUCCUACGGGAGGCAGCAGUGGGGAAUAUUGCACAAUGGGGGAAACCCUGAUGCAGCCAUGCCGCGUGUGUGAAGAAGGCCUUCGGGUUGUAAAGCACUUUCAGCGAGGAGGAAAGGUUGGCGCCUAAUACGUGUCAACUGUGACGUUACUCGCAGAAGAAGCACCGGCUAACUCCGUGCCAGCCGCCGCCGUAA
rnacentral:rRNA from 1 species